rnacentral:rRNA from 1 species
UAUGGCUGCCCAUGCCACCCAUACCUAAAUCUCUCUGAAGCUAAGCUGGUUUGGACCUGGCCAAGACUUAAAUGGGAGACCAAUUAGGAAAGCUGGGUUGCUGCUGCAA